rnacentral:rRNA from 1 species
GAUGAACGCUGGCGGCGUGCCUAAUACAUGCAAGUCGAGCGAACAGACGAGGAGCUUGCUCCUCUGACGUUAGCGGCGGACGGGUGAGUAACACGUGGAUAACCUACCUAUAAGACUGGGAUAACUUCGGGAAACCGGAGCUAAUACCGGAUAAUAUAUUGUACCGCAUGGUUCAAUAGUGAAAGACGGUUUUGCUGUCACUUAUAGAUGGAUCCGCGCCGCAUUAGCUAGUUGGUAAGGUAACGGCUUACCAAGGCAACGAUGCGUAGCCGACCUGAGAGGGUGAUCAGCCACACUGGAACUAAGACACGGUCCAGACUCCUACGGGAGGCAGCAGUAGGGAAUCUUCCGCAAUGGGCGAAAGCUUGACGGAGCAACGCCGCGUGAGUGAUGAAGGUCUUCGGAUCGUAAAACUCUGUUAUUAGGGAAGAACAAAUGUGUAAGUAACUAUGCACGUCUUGACGGUACCUAAUCAGAAAGCCCCGGCUAACUACGUG